UUUCUGAAACUGAGUGCGUUAUGGUUUUGUACGAGUUCUUCAAUGCUUUAUUUGCAAUGGCGAGGAUCUGUGAUAUCAUGUAUAAAUAAGUCAGUAUUUCUCUUCUGAAAAUCACGAUCUCUUCAUCGGACCUGAAAUCAAUCCACCGUCUCUCACCUGCGAUCAUUGCGUGAAGACGGAGUCGUUGCCGUGACGUUCGAUAUUCACUUCACCACCUCUGGUCAAUCAAGGCGUGAUGGUUUAGGGGUGCAUUUCAAUCAACUUAAUUAUGCUUCUGCUCCUUACCUCCGUUGCCAAAACUGUAAAGGAAAUCUUCUGCGAGGGAUCGAGUCUUCUGCGUUUUUAGGGGCAAGCAGCAACGGAUUAGCGAUAGUCCUCCUGAUCCAAUCAAGCUUUUAUCCACUUCCCUCUACAAACGGUUUCUCAGUCCUCCUGAUCCAAUCAAGCUUACCUGCACUUCAUCCUACAAACGGUUUCUCAGCUAUCUUAAUUUAGAUGGAUAGGUGAAAACAUCAAAUCUCAUCAUUCAUUCAAUGUUUUUGCUGAUCACAAAAAAAAGCUCACAUUCUGUUUAUUGUGUUGUGCUAUUGUAAAGAAGGAGACUUUAUGAAACAAUUUUAUAUGCAGAAACCGUUUGGCGUGUAAGUAUAUUGAAGAAUGGGUAAACUAUUAAAGAGGUGACGGAGAAGUUCGUUGAGAGAUAAGUAACAUUAAAUUUCUGCAAGGCUAUGGCUUGACUGAAACGGCGGCUAUAGUUGCUUCUAUGUUUACUAAAGAGGAAACUGAGAGGUACGGAUCCUCUGGUUUGCUUGCUCCGAACAUGGAGGGUAAGAUUGUGGAUCCGGAUACGGGUCGGGUCUUGGGGGUGCAUCGAACCGGGGAGCUCUGGCUCUAGAGUCCUACCGUGAUGAAAUGUGAUUGAUUCUUUUCGAAAAGUUUUUUUGUUUUUGGUAUGAAACUUUUUUGAGUUGUUUUUAAAAGGUUAUUUUAAGAACGAGGAAGCUACUGCAUCUACUAUUGAUUCAGAAGGAUAGUUGAAGACUGGAGAUUUGUGUUACAUUGACGGUGAAGGUUUUGUCUUUGUUGUUGAUAGAUUAAAAGAGCUUAUCAAAUGCAAUGGUUAUCAGGUUUCUCCAGCUGAGCUUGAAGCAUUGUUGCUUGCUCAUCCAGAGAUUGCUGAUGCAGCAGUAAUACCGCAAGGACUUUUUCUUUUAGCAUGAUAGAGAUUGCUAAAUUCUUCUCUUUUUAAUGACCUUUUUAUGUAGCUCUUUACUUUUUCUUUCUUAUGUUUUUUUGAAGUAUCCCUGACUUGAAAGCUGGGCAAUAUCCAAUGGCAUAUAUCGUAAGAACAGCUGGAAGUAACUUAUCCGAAAAAUCCCUCUGGCAAAAUUUUAAGAAGAGAACUUAUAAAUCUCACAAACUCGAAGCUCUAGCAAACCACUCUAUCUUACACUUCACCGUUAGUUAACUCAUUUAUUUGGUUAACCGAUUAUUUAUUUCUCUUACAGAAAUCUCUGUCAAAAUUGAAUAUUGAUUUUGCUCAGCCUGUGAGUUCUCUCCUCUCCCUGUGUCGACGUGUUCCUCUUCUUGGUGUCUCUGUUUCUCAUUUCUGCUAUUGUUGAUUUUGUCUAGAAGCAGCAGGUCUAUUCUAAGUCGCUGCGUCCGAGUUUUGUUAUGGUCCGAGCCAUGUCAGAGUCUCAGACAGCUCUAAAGAAUCAGCCACGGUCCUCGGCCUCCUCUGGUUUGUUUUUGUGUUAACCUGCAAGUUCAUAUUCAGAGAUCGAUUUCAAUUAUAUUCUGUUUACAAUAAGGUUUUUAAUGUAACAUGGGCGUGUGUACAUCAGGAAAAAAGCAAGCUUUGAUAUCUUUAUCUGACAAGUAGGAUUUAGCUACUCUUGGCAAUGGUCUUCAAGAGCGGGUAUGUUUUAUUACAUAAUUUUUAGUUAUGUUUCUGUUCUAAUAAGUGUUUAUGGAUUGAAAAAUGAUUCCUUUUUUUCAUUGUUUCUACUGGAGGAACUGCCUCUACCUUGGAGAAUGCUGGAGUCUCUGUCACUUACAAAGUGGAGACGCUUACUUAUUUCCCUGAAAUGGCAAGUUUCAUUCUUUAGCUGGUGGUAAUGAUUACGCAGUUGAGUUUGGCAUAUUAAGCUUACCUCUCUUUUUUUUCCUUCUCAGAAAAGCAGCUUGAUGGUCGUGUGAAGAGUUUGCACCCAAACAUUCACGGUGGUAUCCUCGCUAGAAGAGAUGUGGAGCAUUUGAGCAUGGCAUUAGUGAAUUUGGACAUUUGAUUAGCCUUUUAAAUUCUAAGGUUGAGACAAGUUAAUCUGUAGUACUCUUUCGUGUUAAAUAGCAUCAUUUUGCUUUGUAUUGAAUGACAGGUACAUUUGAUGGAAAUUUAUUGUGGAACCGAACUUUUCCUCCGCCAUCUCCAAUAAGACCUGAAAGAUUGGAUGUUUCAGAUAAUCCAACGGCAAAACAAACCCCCUGCCUUCUCUGGUGUACACAGAGAAGUGUCCUUUCUUACACUGCCUCCACUUCUCCAUCAUAUUGGUGAGUUUAAGACUUGCAAGAUCCUUUCUUCAUAUGUUUCGACUCUGAUGUCUCUGCUCUUUGAUCUGUUACCAACAUAAUACCAUUGUGUAUACUAUUUGUUAGACUGUUACUGUCUGAAGCUAUACCUUCCUCUCUCUCUCCAUGUAUACUACAAAACGUGAUUAGUGUUUGUGAAAAUAUCUCGAACAAAAAAUGAUUCUUAAAUAACUAAUAAAAAGAAUAUGAAAUUUUUUAAAAAAAAUAAUUCAAUAACAUAAAAAUAAUUCUGAAAAUGAGAAUUUAUUUUACAAUAACAAAUAAUCCGCGUGAAACACAAGAAAUACGAGAAACUAAAACAAUAUUAUAAAAAUGGAAUAAGUCACAUAAUUUUAAAAGAUUUUUAACAAUUAAUUGAGAAAAAUAUAAUAAAAUAGAACUAAAAGAAUUAAUUACAAAAAUAAAUGAAAAUUUUAUUUAUAUAAUAACACAUUAAAGAAACCAUAUGCAAAUAAAUGUAGUAACUUCAUGAAUUUCAAAGAGAGUUUCAAUACAACUAAUUUAAUACUGAUAUGAAACUAAUUUUUUUGUAAUUAUAAAUUUUAAAUUGAAAUGUAAUAAAAACAACAAGAUAUAGGAGUAUAAAUGAAAUUAGAAAAUAUAAAAUAAACCAAUCAAAAUAUUUAUAUUACCAAAAUAAAGAAGAACACAUUUCUAUUGAAAUCAUCUCAACCAUCAACGUAUAAAGUUACUUAAUUUCAAAAAAAUAGUGAAAAUUCAUAAUAAAACCCUAUAAAAUAAAGUAACCACAAAAAUAAUUAUUCAACCCACAUAUAUCCAAACGUUCUCAAAUAAGAACAACUAUUAAACCAAUUAUACAUACUUAACCAACGUGUUUUUCUUUGCUUUUAAUUUUAAUUGUAAUGUAAAGAAUUUAAAAUAUCCCAAACCGUUCAGUUCAGAUGAAUGACUCUAAAAGUCAGUGUAUGAGAUUAAGUAAGAAAAUAUUUACUUAAUCUAUACAUGAAUUAUUAUUAUAAAAAAAAACAAAUAAUUUUGACUUUGAAACAAAACUACCACAAGACUAAAACAUCUUCACAUAUUAGCAAACAACAACUGUGGUGAGGUAACUAUCUUUAUGCUAUAAUUUUGUUAUGCACAUGAGAAUAUGAGGAAUGCAUGAAAUUUAUGGAUCGUCAUGAAAAAAAUACCCAACAUGUCUUGGGCGGACAAAUGUUGAGAUAGAUCAAACGUUCCUUAUGCGGUGUUGCUAUAUUGAAAAAGAAGUGUUAUGAGACUAAUAUGAUCUUUACAAUGCCACCACAUCUCAGUAAUUUCAAAAACGAUAUAUUGAUUGUUAUUACUAUAAACAAAUGGAGAAGUUCUUAGUGUUGGUUUUACGGUGAUUGACAAGUGCCUACACUCAUCGGCCACUACUCAGUUUUCACACUUUCCAGUUUCAAUGUGUUCUUAUUUUGAUUAGCUUUGCACUAAUACCUUCUUCUCAUUUAAUUUAACAUUUUACUUUUAAUAAGAAAUGCAACUUCAAAUAAUCACCACUUUCGUUCCAGUAGCAUGUCGAAAAUCUAUGAUUUCAACAUAAAGGAUAACUUUUAUAACAUACAUAAAAAAUUACCCACAACCAAAUUCUUCACAGCCUAAAUAUUACAAAUCACAAGUAACAUACCAAAUACGAAAUCAAUUUUUUUUGUAAAAUGAAACAACACGAAGACAUUUAAAGCCCUCACAACAGAACAAUGCCACAAGUCUUUAAUAAAGAAACAACUAUUGCAAACAAUCAAAAUAUAUUUUAUCAUAUAUAAUUCUUUUUCACCUAAAACUUUCUAAAAGACAAAAAUUAUAUCAUAUACAUCUAUUGCAAAUGUAAACCAAAAACACAACUCACAAAAUCAUACAAAAAAAUAAUAACCUAAAUCACAAGUAAAAUAUAUCCCGCCCGUAGGGCGGACUGACCCCUAGUAUAUAUAUAUACAACUUUAUUAUUUUUAGUUGUUUUUAAAAUUUUAGUAUAUAGUAAUGGCAAAAAUUAACUUCUAAAUUAAAAUAGUUAGAUUUGGUGAUGGAUGUAUCAUUUGUUCUCUACAAGCAUUAGCGAAGAAAACAGAGAGAUUUACAAAUCAAUCCAGUAAUAUAAUUAUCUGAGAGCGAACAUUAAAAUGCAGAAGGUGAGAAGGUAAUAAAAACCAAACAAAAGGAAACCGAAAACAUCAGACUUUAAGCCGGACUAAGCCAGAUUCACACCGAUCUGAGGCUAUACAAGAUCGGACCAAAAAACAAAA